rnacentral:SRP_RNA from 1 species
GCCGGGCGUGGUGGUGCACACCUGUAAUCCCAGCUACUCGGGAGGCUGAGGCAGGAGAAUCACUUGAACCCAGGAGGCUGCAGUGAGCUGUGACUGUGCCACUGCACUUCAGCCUGGGCAACAGGGUGAGACUCUGUCUCAA